rnacentral:rRNA from 1 species
UGGGGAAUUUUGGACAAUGGGCGAAAGCCUGAUCCAGCAAUGCCGCGUGUGUGAAGAAGGCCUUCGGGUUGUAAAGCACUUUUGUCCGGAAAGAAAUCCUUGGCUCUAAUACAGUCGGGGGAUGACGGUACCGGAAGAAUAAGCACCGGCUAACUACGUGCCAGCAGCCGCGGUAAUACGUAGGGUGCAAGCGUUAAUCGGAAUUACUGGGCGUAAAGCGUGCGCAGGCGGUUUGCUAAGACCGAUGUGAAAAUCCCCGGGCUCAACCUGGGAACUGCAUUGGUGACUGGCAGGCUAGAGUAUGGCAGAGGGGGGUAGAAUUCCACGUGUAGCAGUGAAAUGCGUAGAGAUGUGGAGGAAUACCGAUGGCGAAGGCAGCCCCCUGGGCCAAUACUGACGCUCAUGCACGAAAGCGUGGGGAGCAAAACAGGAUUAGAUACCCUGGUAGUCCACGCCCUAAAACGAUGUCAACUAGUUGUUGGGGAUUCAUUUCCUUAGUAACGUAGCUAACGCGUGAAGUUGACCGCCUGGGGAGUACGGUCGCAAAGAUUAAAAACUUAAAAGGAAUUGACGGGGUCAUAGCUGUUUCCU